GGGACACUCUGGCCCCUUAAAGCACUUUAGCUUGCUGAAAUGCUUUAUGUAUAAAGAGUGUGUCCUUUUUACAUUUUACAAAAAGUGUAGAUUUCAAUAGAAAUUUGCACUUAUAUAAAUAAAUAAACCUUGUUGCACCUCCUUGGCUGUCAACCAGCUCUGUUCCUUCCUGGUUUGGUUAGCUCAGUGGAGCUAAACUCAAGAGGCAGCAGUUGCUAAGAGGACC